GACGAACGCUGGCGGCGUGCUUAACACAUGCAAGUCGAACGGAAAGGCCCUGCUUGCAGGGUACUCGAGUGGCGAACGGGUGAGUAACACGUGGGUGAUCUGCCCUGCACUUCGGGAUAAGCUUGGGAAACUGGGUCUAAUACCGGAUAGGAACCAUCUUUAGUGUGGUGGUUGGAAAGUUUUUUCGGUGUAGGAUGAGCUCGCGGCCUAUCAGCUUGUUGGUGGGGUAAUGGCCUACCAAGGCGGCGACGGGUAGCCGGCCUGAGAGGGUGUACGGCCACAUUGGGACUGAGAUACGGCCCAGACUCCUACGGGAGGCAGCAGUGGGGAAUAUUGCACAAUGGGCGCAAGCCUGAUGCAGCGACGCCGCGUGGGGGAUGAAGGCCUUCGGGUUGUAAACUCCUUUCGCUAGGGACGAAGCUUUUUUGUGACGGUACCUAGAGAAGAAGCACCGGCUAACUACGUG
rnacentral:rRNA from 1 species